rnacentral:rRNA from 1 species
CUAGAACGAACGCUGGCGGCGUGCUUAACACAUGCAAGUCGAACGCGAAAGGGACUUCGGUCCUGAGUAAAGUGGCGCACGGGUGAGUAACGCGUAGAUAACCUGUCUUCAUGUCUGGAAUAAUACGCCGAAAGGGGUACUAAUACCGGAUAUUCUUGCUUUUCAUAAGUUAUGCAAGCAAAGGUGGCCUCUGCAUAUGCUACUGCAUGAAGAGGGGUCUGCGUACCAUUAGCUAGUAGGUGGGGUAAUGGCCUACCUAGGCGACGAUGGUUAGCGGGUCUGAGAGGAUGAUCCGCCACACUGGCACUGGAACACGGGCCAGACUCCUACGGGAGGCAGCAGUGAGGAAUAUUGCGCAAUGGGGGAAACCCUGACGCAGCGACGCCGCGUGAGUGAAGGAAGGCCUUCGGGUCGUAAAGCUCUGUCAAGAGGAAAGAAGUGUACAAUGGCUAAUACCUGUUGUAUUUGACGGUACCUCUAAAGGAAGCACCGGCUAACUCCGUGCCAGCAGCCGC